GACAGAGGGUGCAAACGUUGUUCGGAAUUACUGGGCGUAAAGCGCGUGUAGGCGGCUUGGCAAGUCGCGUGUGAAAGCCCCCGGCUCAACUGGGGAGGGUCACGCGAUACUGGUCGACUCGAAGGCAGGAGAGGGUAGUGGAAUUCCCGGUGUAGUGGUGAAAUGCGUAGAUAUCGGGAGGAACACCAGUGGCGAAGGCGACUACCUGGCCUGUUCUUGACGCUGAGGCGCGAAAGCUAGGGGAGCAAACGGG
rnacentral:rRNA from 1 species